UACGUAGGGUGCGAGCGUUGUCCGGAAUUACUGGGCGUAAAGAGCUCGUAGGUGGUUUGUCGCGUUGUUCGUGAAAACUCACAGCUUAACUGUGGGCGUGCGGGCGAUACGGGCAGACUGGAGUACUGCAGGGGAGACUGGAAUUCCUGGUGUAGCGGUGGAAUGCGCAGAUAUCAGGAGGAACACCGAUGGCGAAGGCAGUUCUCUGGGCCGUAACUGACGCUGAGGAGCGAGAGCGUGGGGAGCGAACAGG
rnacentral:rRNA from 1 species